CCAGCAAUAAGAAAUAAUAACUAUAUAACAGCUACCACUGUGAUCCACAGAAAGGACAUGCCUUGCCAACCACCAUAAAUAAAAACCGACUAAGCCAAUUCCAACAAGGUCAAAGAAUUGAACUUCAAACCUGAGGUUUAAAUUACAAAAUUUGAAGACUCAUCAAUGCUAAUAUGUGCAUUAGGAGAGCCAUAAUGCUCAGAGGUAGCAGCUUGAGGAGCAUGUCUCUUGACGAGCUGCUCACACUCCACUGUCCUGCAUUGAUGAAAUCCUUACUAGAAGUUACAGAGACAGUUACUGAUAAUGAGCAGUCAUAGUUAGCCCAUCCAAUCCGCUGAUGAGCCAGAUCAUAUACGAAAAUUUUAUCCUUUAGAACAAGAUCUCCUAAAAUUGAUAAACCUGCUUGAGCCUUCUGAAAACCAAUGCACCAUAACGGAGCUCCAUU
rnacentral:misc_RNA from 1 species